GGGAGGAGGUGAGAGAUUUGCCUGGCUGGAAAGCAGGGACUCUUGGGGCUGUGAAGGUACAUGGGAGCUCUCAUCUUGCAGACUGCCAGGAACUUCAGUGGCUUGGAAACUGAGAGCCUCAGAGGAGACACCAGCAGUAUUGAUGCAACUCAGCCUGUGACCCUUUGAUGCUAUGCUCACCUUCUCAGAAAAUAUGUGACAGUGUCAGUGAAAGAGGGAGAGGAGUCAUCUGUCCUGCACAGAACUCUGUAGGAAAAAAUUGCUGCUGUUGGGACCAAUUCCUGUCGUGGACUUUGAUGCCUUGGUGGAGACAAUGACACCACUUGUUCUGAUCAUUUGCCAAAGUUUCCCAUUGGUCAGGAUCAAUUCCAAAUGCCUUCAUAACUCACUUGCAUGCAUCUUUGUAGUGAAGCUUGGGAUGUCCUGUUGUUUUUCUUCCUUCUGAGAGUACCCGAUGCAGCAUGUCCUUGGGUAUACAUCCAUAUUCCAAUCUGCUUAGAUGGUCUAGAGAGUGCAGUUGUCUCUGUUUGAGUAAGGCUGUCACACUUGGUAAAUUUGCCCUUGGAAGAGACUCUGCAUUGGUAACUUUAUCUUGGCAUUUGAUGUUGAGUAUGUGGCAUAAACAGCACAGCUAGAACCUGGUUAACUUUUUCUCUUGAUGUACAUAAUUUGUCCAUGUUUCAGCACCAUACAUGAGAGUGCUGACUAACCAAGCUUUGUACACUAGCAUUUUGGUUUUGAUCGUAAGCUUUGAGUUAGGUUGCUGAAGGUGGUGGCAGCCUUUCUGAUGCAAACAUUAAGUUCUUCAUCCAGUGAGAGGUUGGUGGUCACUGUGAAACCUAGGUAGCUGAACUUGUGGACUACUUCUAGCUCUUACCAUCAGCAUAAAGAAAGGGAGUUCCACAAGAGCCAUCAAUCACUCUUAAUGUGACACUCAACUUUAUUAAAAAAUGUAUCUAGAAUAAGGCAUAAAGACAAUGUUGGGAAUGUUUUAGUGAAAAUACUUUCUUUAUAAAAUGCUGAUUUAUUAUGACAAACUGUUCUAAGGUCAGUUUGAUAAAUUUUUAUAUCUUGAAAAAAUAAA